AGUGAACGCUGGCGGUAGGCCUAACACAUGCAAGUCGAACGGCAGCACAGUAAGAGCUUGCUCUUACGGGUGGCGAGUGGCGGACGGGUGAGGAAUACAUCGGAAUCUACUUUUUCGUGGGGGAUACGUAGGGAAACUUACGCUAAUACCGCAUACGACCUACGGGUGAAAGCAGGGGAUCUUCGGACCUUGCGCGAUUGAAUGAGCCGAUGUCGGAUUAGCUAGUUGGCGGGGUAAAGGCCCACCAAGGCGACGAUCCGUAGCUGGUCUGAGAGGAUGAUCAGCCACACUGGAACUGAGACACGGUCCAGACUCCUACGGGAGGCAGCAGUGGGGAAUAUUGGACAAUGGGCACAAGCCUGAUCCAGCCAUACCGCGUGGGUGAAGAAGGCCUUCGGGUUGUAAAGCCCUUUUGUUGGGAAAGAAAAGCAGCAGGUUAAUACCCCGCUGUUCUGACGGUACCCAAAGAAUAAGCACCGGCUAACUUCGUG
rnacentral:rRNA from 1 species